rnacentral:rRNA from 1 species
GAGGACUAGAAUGAAAGGUCAAACAAAUUAAUCAGGUUUGAUGGGCUUAGUAGAAAAUUAAAGUUAAGGUAAGAAUUCUUUAAUUAUUUAGGGGACGAUAAGACCCUAGAAGCUUUAAGAAAUAAAAAUUAUUAUAUAAAAAUAUACUUUUUUUACUGGGGCGGUAAUAGUAUUUGAUCUACUAUUAUUUUGGUUGAUCCUUAAUAUAAAGAUACUACGGCUAAGUUACUCUAGGGGUAACAGUGUAAUAUUUUUGGAUAGGUCAUAUUGAUAAAAAUGUUUGCAACCUCGAUGUUGAAUUAAGAUAUCUAUAUAAAGAAGCAGGUAUAAUAGAAGGUUUGUUCAACCUUUAUAUUCUUACAUGAUCU